AUUGGCUCUCAAAAAUUCGCCCAUUUGGUGAAAUUUGGGGUUUUGAGUGCUUCAACCUCCAUUGAAGCUUGAGGAGCCAUCAAUCCUUGUUUGUGUGACCAUUGGUGGAUUGAGGCAUUUGGACCAACCGUAAGUGAUCAACCAUUGGAGCAAGCUAUGGAGCUUGAUUAGCUCCAUUGGAUAGGUUUUGUUUGAAAAGUGGAGUAUUGUAAUUGACUGACUGUGGAACCUGUUGGUGGUGAACAAAGGUUGACUGAAGCAUUGAGGUAAGCCUUCUG